rnacentral:rRNA from 1 species
UACAGAGGUCUCAAGCGUUGUUCGGAUUCAUUGGGCGUAAAGGGUGCGUAGGUGGCGCCGUAAGUCGGGUGUGAAAUUUCGGAGCUUAACUCCGAAACUGCAUUCGAUACUGCGGUGCUUGAGGACUGGAGAGGAGACUGGAAUUCAUGGUGUAGCAGUGAAAUGCGUAGAUAUCGGGAGGAACACCUGUGGCGAAAGCGGCGCACUGGACCACAUCUGACGCUGAGGCGCGAAAGCUAGGGGAGCAAACAGG